rnacentral:rRNA from 1 species
GAGCUUGCUCCCUGAUGUUAGCGGCGGACGGGUGAGUAACACGUGGGUAACCUGCCUGUAAGACUGGGAUAACUCCGGGAAACCGGGGCUAAUACCGGAUGCUUGUUUGAACCGCAUGGUUCAAACAUAAAAGGUGGCUUCGGCUACCACUUACAGAUGGACCCGCGGCGCAUUAGCUAGUUGGUGAGGUAACGGCUCACCAAGGCAACGAUGCGUAGCCGACCUGAGAGGGUGAUCGGCCACACUGGGACUGAGACACGGCCCAGACUCCUACGGGAGGCAGCAGUAGGGAAUCUUCCGCAAUGGACGAAAGUCUGACGGAGCAACGCCGCGUGAGUGAUGAAGGUUUUCGGAUCGUAAAGCUCUGUUGUUAGGGAAGAACAAGUACCGUUCGAAUAGGGCGGUACCUUGACGGUACCUAACCAGAAAGCCACGG